rnacentral:siRNA from 1 species
AGAUGUUCAAUGGCAGGCGGUGAU